GAUGAACGCUAGCUACAGGCUUAACACAUGCAAGUCGCGGGGCAGCAUUCACUUAGCUUGCUAAGUGAGAUGGCGACCGGCGCACGGGUGAGUAACGCGUAUCCAACCUGCCCUUGUCCACGGGAUAACCCGGUGAAAACCGGCCUAAUACCGUAUGAGGUCACAAGCGGACAUCCAACUGUGACGAAAGGUUUUGCGGACAAGGAUGGGGAUGCGUCCGAUUAGCUUGACGGCGGGGUAACGGCCCACCGUGGCUACGAUCGGUAGGGGUUCUGAGAGGAAGGUCCCCCACAUUGGAACUGAGACACGGUCCAAACUCCUACGGGAGGCAGCAGUGAGGAAUAUUGGUCAAUGGGCGAGAGCCUGAACCAGCCAAGUAGCGUGCAGGACGACGGCCCUAUGGGUUGUAAACUGCUUUUAUAAGGGAAUAAAGUGAGAGUCGUGACUCUUUUUGCAUGUACCUUAUGAAUAAGGACCGGCUAAUUCCGUG
rnacentral:rRNA from 1 species